rnacentral:rRNA from 1 species
AUUGAACGCUGGCGGCAUGCCUUACACAUGCAAGUCGAACGAGUGGCGAACGGGUGAGUAAUACAUCGGAACGUGCCAUGUAGUGGGGGAUAACUAGUCGAAAGAUUAGCUCAUACCGCAUCCUAUAGGAGCGGCCGAUGUCUGAUUAGCUAGUUGGUGGGGUAAAGGACCACCAAGGAGACGAUCAGUAGCUGGUCUGAGAGGACGAGCAGCCACACUGGAACGGAGACACGGCCCAGACUCCUACGGGAGGCAUCAGGGGGGAAUUUUGGACAAGGGGCGAAAGCCUGAUCCAGCAAUGCCGCGUGUGUGAAGAAGGCCUUCGGUUUGUAAAGCACUUUUGUCCGGAAAGCGUUACCGGAAGAAUAAGGACCGGCUAACUACGUGCCAGCAGCCGCGGUAAUAC